ensembl:lncRNA
CGUCUGCUUCCAGACAGAGAGGGACCUUGAGAGAUUCCGCGGACUGUCGACUAAGCAGUCUGGCGGGCGGCGAGGCCACUGCAGCCGGGAUGGGGGGCUCGGCCCCGGCUAACGGCCUCUACAAUUAGCUCGCUGUGUCUCCGUCCGCCCGGCUCGUCCGCCGGGGGUCGGCGUCACACGGCGCGGUCCUUUAACCCCCCCGCAGCGGGCGCUCCUGCUCUCUGUCGGGCGUUUGAGUAAAAAAAAAAGAACCAAAAAAAAAAAAAAAGGCGGACGGCGGGAGCGGAUGCUGUUGUCUGUGAGUAAAGGCUGCGGCGUUGAGGCUAAUGCAGCUCGGGACGCGGCGGCGCCGGGUCGCGGGUGAACUUUGCUGCUUUAUUUCUGUGCGGUGUCGUGGUUCGUGUUAAAGUUCGGAGGAGCCGAACCUUCGGCGCCUUUUGUUCUCCCGGCCCGCACGAUUCCCGCCGGAAACCCGCGGCUCCGCGACCAAAUUAGGAAGCACGGAGGGCGGGGAGGGAAGGAGGGAGAAAUGGAUACGGCCUGCACACCGGCCUGAUAUCCACACCGGCGGCGCGGGUUUAUUUCCAGGCUGCGGCUCACCUGAGGCGCAACUUUCCGGGAGUUGACCGGGGCGGAACGAGCAUCCGUCAAAAUUAUUAUUAUUAUUAUUAUUUUUUAAUUAUUAUUAUUUCACACGUGGGCUCUUAAAACGAAAAAAAUGUCCACGCCGCGGUGCAGAAAUGGCUCCUUUUGUCUUGCAGCGGCUCCCCCCUCCCUAAUCGUCGGCGAGCAGACACUGCGGGAGAGCAGCAGAUUAUGCCGGAACCAGUUCCAGAGUGGACGCAGAACUGUAACAUCACAGGAUCUCCCUGGGGGACAACAACUGGAUCCCAUGGCUGCAAGCGAGGGAAGAAUCCAAGAAAAGUCAACAUUCCUUCCAUCUGACGUUGGAUAGGUCCGGUCUAAGAUGAUGACGACCAUGCAUUCAUCUUCCUGUAUAUUUUUCUUCCCUUAGUUUUAGUUGUCUUUUUAAUUUUUUUUUUACGGUGUGUGUGUGUGUGUGUGUGUGUGUGUGUGUGUGUGUGUGUGUGUGUGUGUGUGUGUGUGUGUGUGUGUGUGUGUGGAGAUGAUGAUGAUGAAUCAUGACUGUUUUCUCUGUGUGAUUUUUAUAAUGGGUUAGGAAUACUCGGGACUCUCAGCCUUGAUGAUAAACUUGGGGGUGGAGGGAGAAACAGCAACUGACACAAAGCAACUUGAGACCGACCUGGCAGGCUUGAGCCGUCACUAAGGCCCAUCCGUCUGUGUUUACAAACCCCACAGGUGGCCCCCAGGGGCCGACGCAACUUGUAGCAGCAUGUCUUCCACUUGUACACAGCUGGACCCAUCCAUUCCAGCACACGUCCCGUACGUGUCUGACGCGAGGCCGCUAAACACGCCAGCUCGUCUUUUUACUCGCAACCUCACAGUGUUUCGUACCAGGUGUACUGACGGUUUACACAGCCGCGCCCUACACACUACAAACUUUACAGUAUUUACUGAGGCUAAGAGUCCCAACUUUUACUAAUGGCUUUCUAGCUCAUUGUUUUUCGUUCUUUUUUUUUUUUUCCCAGUACUAUAUUGCUUUUUAGAAAUGUUUUUUUUUUGUUUGUUUGCUUUGCCAGUAUUAAAAAAAAAAAAAGAAAAAAGAUAAUCAUGUGUGUUGUGAUAUAGAAGUAGCUGUAGAAACGCAUUGUUUCCUUGUGGUAAGUGAUUGAGAUGCUGCCACGGAUUUGAGACACUGAUGAAUGGUGCUAUUUUUGGACUUUAAUCUGCUCCUUGGUAAGGUAGCUGAGAUGGGUUUUAUUUCAUAUCUUCAUGUUCUAAGAAGGUGUUGGUUCUUUGUUGUCUGGUUGUUGUAAUUUGGUCAGGAUUGACUUUUUAUGGGGGGGGGAUUUCCUGUCGUUUUCUGUGCGGCU